rnacentral:rRNA from 1 species
CCUACGGGUGGCAGCAGUGGGGAAUAUUGGGCAAUGGGCGCAAGCCUGACCCAGCAACGCCGCGUGAAGGAAGAAGGCUCUCGGGUUGGAAACCUGCUUUAUCAGGGACGAAGCAAGUGACGGUACCUGAUGAAUAAGCCUCGGCUAACUACGUGCCAGCAGCCGCGGUAAUACGUAGGUCGCAAGCGUUAUCCGGAUUCACUGGGUGUAAAGGGAGUGUAGGCGGGAAGGCAAGUCAGAUGUGAAAACCAUGGGCUCAACCUGUGGCCUGCAUUAGAAACUGGUUUUCUUGAGUACUGGGAAGGCAGACGGAAUUCGUAGUGUAGCGGUGAAAUGCGUAGAUAUUAGGAAGAACACCAGUGGCGAAGGCAGUAUGCUGCACAGCUACUGACGCUGAGGCGCGAAGGCGUGGGGAGCGAACAGGAUUAGAUACCCUUGUAGUC